rnacentral:lncRNA from 1 species
GCCAGAAUUGAUGCAGAGUUCUGUUCCAGUUUUGUGUGGUUUCUGGCGAACUGGGCCAUUUGCUCUGAGCUGCCCCAUGACAGGAGGGGCAAUCCGCAGCCCUCACCAUUUCCUGCCCCAUCCCAACCCACACAGGGCCUCUUCUAUGGGCUGCAUUCUGUAAUUGGCAGUUAUAUGGAUUUACAGAUACAGUUGAAGGUGUUUUUAGACAGCUGUACAGAAGACAUAGACAUUCCAGCCUUACCCCAAGAACAUGACCGACCCAGAAGAGCCUUUGAAUGUGCUGAGGACAUGUGCUGAAGUCUCAAAGAAGCAAGGGUGGAAUGGCUGUCCAAGAGCCUCUCAGGUUCUCUAGGGCAAGGGCAAGAGGGCUGGCAUGAUGGGUUUCACUAGGAUAACUAGGAGAACUGGCUGUGACUACGAUGGCCAUCUAUUCUUUGCUGCUCAGCAUCCCUUACUCUUUCCUGUAGUAACAACUACACCCCAAUUCUGCUUUGGGAAACCACCUUUCCCUAACAGACACAGUCAUGGUGGGACAAUCAUCGGAGUGUGGGGCUCCCUGCUCUGGUCAACGAUUUAGCACUCAAGCCAGGACAAUGACAUCUUGCCCUAGAAUCUCAACCACCGACUCUAAGACUGAGCAACAGCACAUCCCAGCAGGAGCACCUAGGUGCUUCUGUCCGUGGGCUCCUACCACCCAGAUCCCCAGAGAUCCUGUUUUUCCUAAAAUAUGCUUCUCCAGUUUGUCCUUUGAUCCUAUCACCUACCCCAGAUCCUUCCAAAAGCUCCUAUUUUCUUUCCCAAGACAGGAAGCCAUACCACACCCUAUUCCCAGAGCACGUCUGUAACCAGCAGCCACAAUCUAAAGGUUAGCAGGGAAAGCUUGCCAAAUAGUUUAGGAUUCUCUCUGGUCGGCCAAUACCUGUUAACCAGGCAGCUCCUUCCUCCACCUCUCCAGGCCCUGAAUGUCUUCAGAAGUCCCCAGGAGCCUCAGCAGAAGAUCCUAUCUUCCCUUCCACUGUGAAGAAGAUGCCCGGAACAUGCCAGGCACAGGCCUGUGACGCAGACAGGACCUGAUGUAUCCCCUGCUCACAGGGUGAGUGUUCAGUUUUCAUUAGAUUCUCAGAGAGGUUCAGGCCCCAGAAAAAGUGAGAACCACCAGCAUAGAGAGAGAAUGAAGGUCCUGAAGACAAGGCUCUUGAGUCACAGCCCAGGUCAGAGCUGGGCUCAAACUUGAUUUCCACAAUGGAGUCAUUUCUCCCUCUAACAUUUGGUGAAAGUGUGUAAUA